GUUUCGUGUGGCCUAGCCCGAGCGCGAGAGACGGAGACGGAGACGGAGAGGCAUUCGAGGCGAGCGAUCCGUGCGUCGGAGAGUAAGUUUUGGCUUGUGACAGAUGAUGUAUGAGAUUAUUUAUAGAGCUCUAAGGGAAGCUGGGUUUAAAGAUACUUAUGAGCCACGAGACUAUUUGAACUGAUUUUGCCUUCACAUUCGCAAGACUAUAGCACACAAAAUGAAAGUCCAGAUUCAGCCAACACACCUAUUGGUGGAAGACACCGUGGAUUAAGGUAGCUGCAGUAUUUUUGAGCCCUAACAAAUACCUCUUAUGAAUGGAGUUUGUUGAUACGUAUUUACCACUCCCUGUUAGAGGUAUGAUUAAUAUGGAUAAGUCCAGUUUGCCUUAUCUUAGGAUUACUUAAUGGUCUGGUUUCUCUUUCCUGCUUUGAUCCUACCCCUCCUCAGGGUUUUGCUUGUGUCCAUAAUGAUGGAUGUUCUUGUUUGUUAUUUUUUUUUAUUUUAAGAUCUUUUUUAAAUUGCUUCUAUCAUGAAUCCUCAUAUCCUGCUCAUGGACAUUUGAAUCUUUUAAGGAAUUGUAAAAUCUUUUCGGAUAUUAACGCAUAGGUCGUCGAUAUUAUAUAUAUAAACUAUUAUCUAUUUAUUUCUUGGCUUUCUUAAAUACAUAGGUACAACUUGAUUUGAAGCAAAUUUUAAUAUAUAACUGAAGUUAAUAUGAAAGUUUUUUUUCAACUUUAAUAUGAAGAUGUAUCCUAUUAAUAUCAAUUUUUAAAGAUAAUGGAGUAGAGCUAAACAUUUAUAAUGUU